rnacentral:lncRNA from 1 species
GGGCCCUCGGGGGGCCAAAAAAUCACGAAAAAAUGGAGCUUACCGGCGGCGGCUCUCCGGCGAGGUUCGUGUUUUGGUGAUUCGGCUCCGGUCAACCUGUAGAGAAAAGAAUGGUGAUCACGGUGAUAUAAAAAUUGCAUCAAACGGAGGCCGGGAAGGGCCUCGUCGGAGGCAAAAACUGAGAGGGGGCGCGGCGGCGCCGCUGGUCUUCG